GCGCCGGUGGUGUAAGGCGAGCCCGGAAAGCAGAAGAUGCGGGUUCGAGUCCCGCCUGGCGCA
rnacentral:tRNA from 1 species